AGGUGAGGGGUUUUUUAAAUUUUUUUUGCUUCACAAUGUUAUAAUAAUUGAUCAUUAUCUUAUGAUCCUGGCAAAGUUGUUUACAAAGUUUUUUUUGUCCUUUAUGUUAAACUCUAUGAGGAAUCCCCUAUUCGGAUCAAUGUGCUGCUAUUUAUCGGUCAUUCUACAUUUGUGAAGGGAGAUUAAACCAGUUUUGAGAUUGAACCUUCAUUUGGUGUGGAGGCUUCAGCACUUUAUCCUGAUGUCAAAUACAAAACUGAAGAGGAGUAUAUCAACAAAUUUGUCUAAACCAAAUCUAUUUUGUCUUUAAAAUAUUUUCUUUUUUACAAUUCAUAUAAUAUAAUUUUUCCAAAUUCAAAAACAACAAUCUAUUCACUAAACAAAAAUCAUCCGCGAAAAAACAAAAAAAAAUGAAAGAAAAUAUAUUAACUAAAUAUUUAAUGUUAUUUAAAUAAAACAAAAUUAUUUAAAGUUUCUCUAUCAAAAUAAAUAAAAUAAAGAAAUUAAAUGGAAAAACUUCGAAAACAAAUAAUUUUAAUUUUUUCUUAAUAUUGGAUAAAGAAUUUAAUUGUAAAGCCCGCGGAGCGGGCAAACAUACUAGUCUACUAAUAGCGGAGAAGGGGUUGAGACUUCUAGUAGAAGUCCUCUAUACAAGUAUGUAUUGAAAGCCAGUAUAAAGUUUCGUGACUACUAUACACUUGGCACUUACAUGCCUGACUUCGAGAAGUUUACUCCUGAGACAGGAUUUAGGAACCUUAGAUUAGACUUAAGAUAUGAUUAUGGCAAGUUUUAUGCAUCAAAAACUUUUUUUGAUAGUGCAAAACAUAGGAGAAUCUUAUGGGGCUGGAUAAAUGAGUCUGAUAGUUCUGCAGAUGAUGUCAAGAAAGGAUGGUCUGGAAUUCAGGUAAUAUUUACUCAUUACAUAUUUCAUUAACUUUCUGAAUUUCAGAAAAAUUCAAGUAAUUGAUGCUUCCUUUCUAUCAUCAAAAGCUUGUGUUUCAAUAACUCACGAAUUUUAGUUCUAUACUGAUUUGUUAAUGGAUGGUAAUAAAUAUCUAAGCAUGAUUAUCAACAUGUUAAGAAUAUAUAGCUAGGGAUGUUUCCAUGCGCGUGAUUUAUUGAUGCCUGUGACAAUGGGGGCAGUUCUAAUGUUAAAUGAAAAUUCGACAAAUUGAUAAUAUGUGAAUCAGAUCAAAGAACAUGGAAAACAUAGACUUUGUUCUAGAUCUAGAAGCAAAAAAAUUAGUAGUUGCUCUCCAGGCUGGAUAAAGUUGAACCAUGCUAACAUAGCAUGUUCGAGCAAGUCUAAUUGGGUUACCUAAAUGAGCUCCUAAACUCAUAUUUAGGUAAUGUAUCAAAAAGAGACACUCCAACACUAUCCUAGUAGUUACCUAAAUCACUAGCACAUCCUCAAAUCUUCAAGCCAUUACCUAUUUUUAGGUAAUCUCUAGCCAUUACCUAUUUAAUAUUUAUGAAUAAAAAAUUCAUCUCUACCCUUCUUUCUUUAUGUUUUCCCUCCUUUUUCCCCUUAUCACUCUCAAAUUUAUUAUUAAAAAGGUGAUGAGAUAGGUAACCUAUUGGACUUGCUCGUAACUAACCCGAAUAACAGAUGAAUUUCAAGCACACAUACAUUGAUGACUUUAAGUUGAUCUUCCUUGUGAUGCCUCCUCUGUUUUUUUCCUCUUCACUUCAUUCAGAACAUUUCUCCCCCAUUCGGCAAAAUGAGUCUCAUUGUAACCAAUUUUUCCGUCCUUGUAAAUAGACAUGCAACGACGAUCAUCCUCAGAAUAUGGGCACUGAUCACCAUCAGGAUCGUGCCAGGCGCCCUGGUGUUUCAUCCCUGACCAGAGAGUCAUCCACUUGUAGACGAAUUGGCCAACCCCUGCUAGUUUUAGCCACCCUUUGGGGUAGAAUUCCAUGACACUGCUGUUUUUAUUCAUCAGGAACAAAUUAGUUAAUUGAGCUCCAUGUGGUGAUAUCAAAAUAUCCGUUGAACUCAUCAGCCGAACCUGCAAAAUUAAAUUGUUAUAGUUUAAAAUGAUAUGAUUUCUUCCUGUUUUUUAGAGUGAAAAAUAAACACUGACCUGUUCACAGAAUGUGAGAUUAUUAGAGUGAGCAACCAUUAUCCGGCAACCCUCCACCUUCUUGCACUCCUCAUCAAAGAUCCGAACCACCUCUGAUUCGUUCUGAAAAGACCUUCCCCCUGUUCUCAUGAGUAGGGUCAUUCCGAUUUUACCUUCACUACUAUCUUCCAGGCUCACAUUACAAAGUACCCUUGCUUUGCACCUCACCAGAUCAUAAACUUGCAUUAAAUUUUCUCCAGACAUUCCUCCUUCAUUGUGUCUCAUGACCACGGCCUUCUCAAAGCAAAGCGGUUCAUCAUCGCCAAAACCUUCAAACGUCUGAAUGUUUAGGGUCUCAGAGAAUGUAGCCUCCAUUAAGUUCCUCAACCAACCAGCCAUUUUAUACCGAAGUUCCCCCUUGUGAUACAAAAUCCACCGGGAUGGUGUAGCACACUCAUUCUUUAUAUGCCAUGCAACAAAGGGUACCAUAGCUGAUAGACCAUGCCAUAUAUUAUCAUAAGUGUAGUAAUUGUUUGAUAUAAAAGUAAGACCUUUCAUGAGAGUAGCAUUUCUUGGUAAUGCCUCGGGCCAUGCCAGUGCAUACGAGUUCCAUGCACCGUCGUGAUUAUCAUGACCUUUUAUGCAUAGUACUCUGCCUUUAGAGGAAUUGGAAGGGAAUUGUUGGUAUUGAGCUUCACCUUUCUCAUGUGUGUCAUACAUGGAGCUCAUGAACCAUGUGUGACCGUCUUGGGCCACAUGCGCGUAUCUGAGGUCCUUUAGGGGGAGAAAUGUGACACUUUCUUCGAGCUUGGUAGCUGUGGAAUCUAGUUUCUUUGUGCAGCUUUUUAAUGUUAUUUCUGUCUUACUGAUCAGAUUUUGCCAGUAUGGAAAUGAAGUCCAUGUAGGUAAAGACGGUGGCAAAGCAGCCGGUGUAGAUGAUGGGGUUCGAAGGGAUUGAAUUUUGAAGAGAACAAAGAUGGUGACACAGGUGACUAGAAGGUAAAGUGAGAAUUUUUGGAACUUGAGGGAGGGAGGAGGCCUUUGGGGCUUUCUUGCAAGUGCUUGAGAGGAUAACUCUUUGGUCAUGGUGCUUAACAAAUUGAAUGGUAUGAAAUAUUUGGUGAGUUUAAAAUCUUCAAGGUGUGGAUCAUCUUUACUUGCUUUUUUACUGCAUUGCUUUCCCACGAGAGAAUUUGCGUGAUCUUGGGAUCUCUCAUUAUUUCCUAAGAAGCUUUAAAAGUAGACAGAAAUUUUAGAUUGUUUGCAAAAAGUCUUCUCAAGGGGGAAAAAAACUGGAACCGCCACAUCAUUAGGGAAGAAUCUUCUAUACUGAAUUUGAGUUCUCAAAACAUUACUGCAAAAAAAUCUCAGAGCAAGUCGAUGAAAAACCUUUAGCUAAAAGUGAGUUGGUAUAUCAAAAAUAAAAAAUAUAGCCAAUGUUUUGAAAAUAUCUUCUUAUGGAUGACUAUAUUUGUCGAACCAAAAAUUCUCUAUCUUGCUUGCUUCCAACCAAAAAAUUGUAAAUGCAGACAAGUCAACACUUACAUUUGGAUCUACACUAACAUUAAACAACAGCCUACAUGACUAAGUAUAAUCUAUCUCAACUUGACUGCCUCGGUGAAAUAUUUUACAGGUACAUUGAGAUUACAUUUGCUCUGCUCCUACGAUUCAUGGGUGUCCAAGCUAAGCCUCAGGCAGAGCAAAAGUUUUGUUAGGUAAAUGUUAUGGGCUCAAUAAUCUUUCAAAUUUCCUAAUAAUAAUCUAUUACUCCCUUCAUUUCAAAUUACAUGUUCAGUUUCUAAAAAUCACAUAGUUUAAGAAAAGUGAGGAGAUUUGAUUUUGAAAAUAUAAAUUUACAUUGAAAAUUGAAGUGGACAAGUAUUUUGAAACAAUUUUUUUUAAAAUGGACAUGUAUUUUGAAACGGAGGAAGUAUUAAUUAAUCUUAUCCCAAGUUAAUUAUUUCCUUUCUCUGAAACGAGGAAUAAUCUCUAAUUAAUUACAAACAAUAUGUCACAUCGAUAUCCGAAUUUGGUAUCCUAACAUGGAUAUGAUAAAAAGAUAAAAUAAACUAAAUCCAAAUACAUCUUUAAACAAUCUUCGAGAUAAAAACCUGAUGCUAACAUAACUGCGUUGACUUCAUCCCUAUGCAGGCAUCUUGAAAAAGGAUAUGACACAUAUAAAAAGUCGAGUCAACUCUCAAGUCUAGCCCCAAACAACCAAAAACUAAAAACCUCCUAUUUUCAUAUUUCGAGCAACCUCCAAAUUUAUUAUCACCAAAUUCCUUCUUAACAGUAAAUACCCAACAGUUUUGAAGAAAAUAAUCACUGAUAGAUAUUUGCAGAGCAUUAGAGAGCUGGAUUAACGACUAACUUCAUAUUAAGACGGUAAUGUUGGGGAGAAAGCUAAAUAAUUUGAUCCAAAUACUCCACGAAUUUGUACUGUCUACUUGUCUACAUCAUUCUGUCUGUGAAAUCCUUGUUUCAGACUAUGGUUGUUUCAAACUUUCUGCAAUUGAUUCUCUAACUUGAAUCAUUUCGUCGUGAUUGAUCAUAUCCAAAGUAAUACUCUCCUUGACAACAUUAGAUCUUCUCCUCAAUCUCUAAAUAAUCUUGAUCAUAAGUCAAGAUUAUUCAGCCUGAUAGGUCUUUACUGAAGUGUUCAUGAAUACUUGUUACUUCAUUAUGUGUUCUAUUUCAUAGCCAUUUUUCGUGUACGUGGCAUUUUCCAAUACAACAUGUUUAUGCUUUAAAUCUGAAAGUGCCGUAAGAAUGUAAGAUACCACUGAGUCUGGGCAUCUACAUGCAUGGUCCAUGGUGUUCUGGCCCAGAAUUCCAACACAAGCAAACGACUUGCAAAUUUUAUAGUGGAUGCACUUUUAUAAAGCUCCAAACAGGAGAAUUUGUAGUGUCAUGUUUAGUUUUUCUCAUCAGUGCAGCUGAUAACUAUACCUAAUUACAGACUUUAUUGCGCGGCCCAGCAUAUCUCUCACAGUGCUCACACAUGCAUAUCAGCGUAUUGCUUAUUAGCACGCAGAUUAGUCGGUCCACAUGGUCCAGGUUCUGCAGGUGAUACCUAAGGUUGGCAUGCAUGUGAAUUCAGAAAAGAAAUGGAAGUUGUUACAGGUAAGUAGCAGUGUGGCCUAACAUAAUUAUGGAUUAUUCAGUUGUGAGUUGUGACUUAUAGGUGUCACCAAUGUAUAUAUUGCCUAGAUAUUAGGCACUUGGCAACCUUAGGUGUCCCCCUUACACUUUUUCUCUCAUUAGUGACUACUUCACUUCAUAAUAUCAGUGCUCCAGUAUGACUCACUCUGAUGGUUAUAAGUAUCUACCUUGCCUUGUAUUUUUUGACCCGCAUUGAUAACUAUAAAUAUCUACAUUGUCCAGUUAGUCAGUACACGACUGUCUUGAUUUAAGAAAUAUGGGGAAUUAUACAUUGCCAGUCUUAGGAUUUUUCUUUGUUUUGCUUUGUGGUGGGAAUGAAGUUCAUGCCUCCCAUCAGUAUCUUCAGCCUGAAGCUACAAGAGAGGCAAUACAGCCGAGCAGAACAUCUUACCACUUUCAAGCUCCCAAGAACUGGUUGAAUGGUACUGCUUCACAAAAACACACACACACUCACUCACCCGUAGCUACGUUCUUCUUCCUUUUCUUUUUGAUGUACUUGUUGUGCUAAUUUUGAAUUUGAGUAAAUUUGUUUUCCUUUUUUUUUCUAUACUCUGAUGCGAUGAUCUGGUGGAAUACAUGGGACAAUACAGAUCCUAAUGGUAUGCUUUGUUUCUAUUCAUAUGUAGUAAUCUGUUAUUCAUAUGAAUUAACUUGACUUUUAGUUAUAUAAAUGCUAAUGCAGGUCCAAUGUAUUACAAAGGAAUUUACCAUUUGUUCUACCAGCACAACCCUUAUGGUGCUGUGUUUGGUAAAACUAUUGUAUGGGGACAUGCUAUUUCAUAUGAUCUAAUCAAUUGGGUUCAUCUAAACAAUGCCCUUUAUCCGACCAAUGCUUUUGACGCCAAGAGUUGCUGGUCUGGCUCGGUUACAAUUCUUCCUGGACAAAAGCCUGUGAUUCUUUACACUGGGCUUGAUAUUAAGAAUCAGCAGGUUCAAAAUAUGGCAAUGCCAAAAAAUCUAUCUGACCCUUUUCUUAGAGAAUGGAAAAAGUAUUCUCAUAACCCUAUAAUGAUGCGGCCUGAUGGUGUCAAUAAAGAUGAUUUUAGAGACCCUACUACCGCUUGGCAAGGCGAAGAUGGAAAAUGGAGGGUACUUGUCGGUAGCUUGAAGAGUGACCGUGGAUUGGCCGUUUUAUACAGGAGUAAUGACUUUAAGAAGUGGAAUAUGUAUGAUCAUCCCCUUUAUUCAGAAGCAAACACUGGUAUAUGGGAGUGUCCAGAUUUCUAUCCUAUAUCUACUAAUAGCAGAGAAGGGGUUGAGACUUCUAGUAGAAGUCCUCAGUACAAGUAUGUAUUGAAAGCCAGUAUAAAGUUUCGCGACUACUAUACACUUGGCACUUAUAUGCCUGACGUUGAGAAGUUUACUCCUGAGACAGGAUUUAGGAACCUUAGAUUAGACUUAAGAUAUGAUUAUGGCAAGUUUUAUGCAUCAAAAACUUUUUUUGAUAGUGCAAAACAUAGGAGAAUCUUAUGGGGCUGGAUAAAUGAGUCUGAUAGUUCUGCAG
rnacentral:lncRNA from 1 species